rnacentral:rRNA from 1 species
UACGUAGGUGGCAAGCGUUGUCCGGAUUUACUGGGCGUAAAGAGCGCGCAGGCGGUCGUGCAAGUCGCGUGUGAAAGCCCCCGGCUCAACUGGGGAGGGUCACUCGAUACUGAUCGACUUGAAGGCAGGAGAGGGAAGUGGAAUUCCCGGUGUAGUGGUGAAAUGCGUAGAUAUCGGGAGAAACACCAGUGGCGAAGGCGGCUUGCUGGGCGUGAUCUGACGCUGAGGCGCGAAAGCGUGGGGAGCGAACAGG